rnacentral:rRNA from 1 species
AGACAGAGGGUGCAAACGUUGCUCGGAAUUACUGGGCGUAAAGGGCGCGUAGGCGGAUUUGGAAGUCGGGUGUGAAAUCCCUGGGCUCAACCUAGGAACUGCAUUCGAAACUCCAAGUCUAGAGUGACGGAGAGGAAAGCGGAAUUCCCGGUGUAGAGGUGAAAUUCGUAGAUAUCGGGAGGAGCACCAGAGGCGAAGGCGGCUUUCUGGACGUCCACUGACGCUGAGGCGCGAAAGCGUGGGGAGCAAACAGGAUUAGAUACCCUGGUAGUCCACGCCGUAAACGUUGGGCACUAGGUGUCGCGACGAUGACUGUUGCGGUGCCGUAGCUAACGCAUUAAGUGCCCCGCCUGGGGAGUACGGCCGCAAGGCUAAA